ACUUAAAUUGAAGAGUUUGAUCAUGGCUCAGAUUGAACGCUGGCGGCAGGCCUAACACAUGCAAGUCGAGCGGUAGCACAGAGAGCUUGCUCUCGGGUGACGAGCGGCGGACGGGUGAGUAAUGUCUGGGAAACUGCCUGAUGGAGGGGGAUAACUACUGGAAACGGUAGCUAAUACCGCAUAACGUCGCAAGACCAAAG
rnacentral:rRNA from 1 species